GGAUAGCUCAACGGGUAGAUCAUGAGACUCUUAAUCUCAGGGGUCAUGGGUUCCAGCCCCAGGUUAGGCA